UUGACCCGGCCCAAGUAGCAUAAUCAAUUGUCUUUUAAUUGAAGGCUGGAAUGAAAGGUUGGAUGAGAUAUAAACUAUUUUUAUUUUAUAAAUAAUGAAUUUUAAUUUUAAGUAAAAAUGCUUAAAUAAAUAAAUUAGACGAGAAGACCCUAUAAAUCUUUAUUUUUUAAAAAAAAUAAAUAAACUUAUAAAAUUUUUUGUUAUUUUUUUGGAAGAAUUUAAUUGGGGUGAUUAUUAAAUUUAAUAAACUUUUAUUAAUUUUUACAAUUUAUAUUUGAUUAUAAUGAUCCAUUAUUAAUGAUUAAAAGUUUAAGUUACUUUAGGGAUAACAGCGUAAUUAUUUUGAAGAGUUCUUAUCGAUAAAAUAGAUUGCGACCUCGAUGUUGAAUUAUAGUAUAGUAUCUUAAAUGCAGAAGUUGAC
rnacentral:rRNA from 1 species